rnacentral:rRNA from 1 species
UACGUAGGGGGCAAGCGUUGUCCGGAAUUAUUGGGCGUAAAGCGCGUGUAGGCGGCUCGGUAAGUCUGCUGUGAAAGUCCAGGGCUCAACCCUGGAAUGCCGGUGGAUACUGUCGAGCUAGAGUCCGGAAGAGGCGAGUGGAAUUCCUGGUGUAGCGGUGAAAUGCGUAGAUAUCUGGAGGAAUACCGGUGGCGAAGGCGGCAUCCUGGACCGACAUUGACGCUGAUGCGCGAAAGCCAGGGGAGCAAACGGG